rnacentral:tRNA from 1 species
UCCCAGGUAGCUCAGAUGGUAAAGAGUCUGCCUGCAGUGCAGGAGACCUGGGUUCGAUGCCUGGGUUGGGAA